rnacentral:rRNA from 1 species
CCUACGGGGGGCAGCAGUGGGGAAUAUUGGACAAUGGGGGAAACCCUGAUCCAGCAAUGCCGCGUGUGUGAAGAAGGCCUGCGGGUUGUAAAGCACUUUCAGAAGAGAAGAAAAGCGCCGUGCUAAUACCACGGUGUCUUGACGUAACCUUCAGAAGAAGCACCGGCUAACUCCGUGCCAGCAGCCGCGGUAAUACGGAGGGUGCGAGCGUUAAUCGGAAUUACUGGGCGUAAAGCGUACGUAGGCGGUUAGAUUAGUCGGAUGUGAAAGCCCCGGGCUUAACCUGGGAAUUGCAUUCGAUACUGUCUAGCUAGAGUGUGGAAGAGGGAAGUGGAAUUCCAGGUGUAGCGGUGAAAUGCGUAGAUAUCUGGAGGAACAUCAGUGGCGAAGGCGACUUCCUGGUCCAACACUGACGCUGAGGUACGAAAGCGUGGGGAGC